UACGUAGGGGGCAAGCGUUGUUCGGAAUUACUGGGCGUAAAGGGCGCGUAGGCGGCACAGCAAGUCGGGAGUGAAAGCCCGGGGCUCAACCCCGGAACUGCUUUCGAAACUGCUGAGCUAGAGUACAGAAGGGGCAACCGGAAUUCCCAGUGUAGCGGUGAAAUGCGUAGAUAUUGGGAAGAACACCUGAGGCGAAGGCGGGUUGCUGGGCUGAUACUGACGCUGAGGCGCGAAAGCCAGGGGAGCAAACGGG
rnacentral:rRNA from 3 species